rnacentral:rRNA from 1 species
UGGCCUUGACAUGCAGAGAACUUUCCAGAGAUGGAUUGGUGCCUUCGGGAACUCUGACACAGGUGCUGCAUGGCUGUCGUCAGCUCGUGUUGUGAAAUGUUGGGUUAAGUCCCGUAACGAGCGCAACCCUUGUCCUUAUUUGCCAGCACGUAAUGGUGGGAACUCUAAGGAGACUGCCGGUGACAAACCGGAGGAAGGUGGGGACGACGUCAAGUCAUCAUGGCCCUUACGAGUUGGGCUACACACGUGCUACAAUGGCCGGUACAGAGGGCUGCAAACCUGCGAAGGUAAGCUAAUCUCACAAAACCGGUCGUAGUCCGGAUUGGAGUCUGCAACUCGACUCCAUGAAGUCGGAAUCGCUAGUAAUCGUGGAUCAGAAUGCCACGGUGAAUACGUUCCCGGGCCU